GGCCAGGGCCGUGAGUAUUUACAGUGUUCUGACCUGAGGACCCCGGGCUGAAGGAGAAGAGGAGGAAACCGGGCCCAUUCCAUAAACAGACACAGAUAGGAGGGGGAGUCACCACAGGUGAAAUCCCUCUUAGCAGCUGGCUUAUGAAAUAAUGUGAAGGGAGGCCUUAAUGAGCAGAAAGCACCCUCAGCUGGAGAUAAAUAUAUGCAAAUGAGAUGCACAAACAAAGGAGCCUGGACAGAGAAAUAUCUGCAAUUCCAGCAAAAUUCUGCCUGCAGCUCGAAGAUGAACAGCUUUGAUAAAAUGUGAGAAAUAAUCCUCCCCUGUGCUGAUGACUCAGGCUCAUGAAUCUGCAACAAGCAAGUGGGAUAAAAAAUAGUUAAAAUGAAUCAACAUUUAUCUGGAAGAUACAGUCCUGACCUUAAAAGAAAAAAAAAAAAAAAAAAAAAAGGCCAUUUAUCUUCUGUGUCCUGUGAUGUUUUGAGGAUUCUGGCAAAUAUGGCAGUUAAACAAACUUCUUUCACAAUCUAAAUACUGUCUGUUCAAGAGAGGCUUCCAAUGUUUAUAGCUCAUAAGUAAAGAAAAAAAAAAAAGAAAGAAAGAAAGAAAAAAAAAAGAAAACCCUGGUAUUUUACCAACACGGGCGCUCUUGAAAAUGUCUCCGAACAAAGUGUUUAAGCAAAAAACUUUGGCCACAGAGAGUCUCGAUUGCUCAUUCGCCUUCUGAUUUCCUUUUUCAAGGAGAUGCUUUCAUAUUCCGUCUUUGCAUUCCUUUUCUGGAAAUCAGCAAAUUAAUUGCAAAAAAUUAACGCCUGACGAGUGACCUGGUCAUACAAACUUCCUCUAGAAACAGUUGAGAGGAAAACAUCCCAUUUUUAUGAACCCCGUCUCCUGCCAGGGGCCUCGGAGGAGGAACACCAUUAUGCAUUGUUAUCAGCGUGGUGUAAUUUGACUGUUGACAAAGUAUCCGUGGCAGUGAGAAUGAGCGCAGUUAGAAGUGUGGCGGAUUGUAAUCAAGAAGAUGCUUAGCUGUGCAACACUGCAUCUUGAGCAGAUUUGAAUCAACAUUGCCUUAAGGGGACACACACACAUACCAAAAGGAAAGGGGGGAAAAAUCCAUUAAUUUUUAGAGGAAAAUUAGAGUGGCACUUGAUGAAGUAAAAUUUGACAUGCGUUAAUUGCUCUGCAGCUCUCCUAAUUAGAGAUUUUCAAAUUCUUUUACUGCUGUCACCAUGAUGGCACAUUGUCUUGCCGGACAAACCCUGGAAUGGCAAAUGCGUUUGAUCGGGAAGUUUUAUGGAGGGAGAUUGGACUGUGUCCUCCGGGCAGUCCACGUCCAGGAGGUGGACAGCUGGGGAGCAAAGGGGGGUUUUCAGCAUCACCUUCGCCGCAGAGAAAAACAGGCUUUACUAAAAUAGUUUCAUUACAAGACUUAAUGUAAAGGAAGCAGGUGCUGAUGCGAUUUUCUUAAACGGACGGAAAUGUUCCUUUGAUACUCGUGCCUCUGUUUCAUAUGAAAUAU